CGUCUGGGGAAUGGCUUGGCUCAGGAGCCGACGAAGGUCGUGCCAAGCUGCGAUAAGCCUCGUGUAGGCGCAAGGAGCCUUUGAUACGAGGAUCACCGAAUAGGACUUCCGACAUGGGCAACCCCAUGUGUCCCGUAAGGGUCGGGAACCCCCCGAAUUGAAGCAUCUUAGUAAGGGGAGGAAAAGAAAUCAAUCGAGAUGCCGUAAGUAAAGGCGAUCGAAAGCGGCACAGGGCAAACCGAAUCCCCCGUCGAAAGACGGGGGAGAUGUGGAGUUUUGGACCCGGGCACUCCGUGCUGGUGAACUCGAACUCCGCCUGACACGGCCGGCCAUAGAGGGUGACAGCCCCGUAGAGGCAAGCCGUAGGAGAUUCCGGGUAUCCCGAGUAACGUGCGCUGGAUAUCGCGCGUGAAUUUGGGAGGCAUGAACUUCCAACUCUAAAUACAUCCUGAGACCGAUAGCGCAUUAGUAGCGUGAGCGAAGACUGAAAAGUAAACUUGACGGGAAGUGAAAAGAGCCUGAAACCAGACGAUAACAGGCGUGUGCAGCGCAAAAGGUCUUCGACCGGCGUUGCACUGUCCGUGUUGAAAAACGGGCCAGGGAGUUCUGGUCAAUGGCGAGGUUAAGCCGUAUCAUCGGCCUAGCCGCAGGGAAACCGAAUGUCCGCAGCCGCAAGGCGAGGGACGGGGUGCGUUCGCCCCCAGUCAUUGGCGGGAGACCCGAAGCCAGUCGAUCUAUACCUGGCUAGGUUGAAGCCCUGGGAAACCAGGGUGGAGGACCGAACCGAUACUGAUGUGCAAAUCGUUCGGAUUAGCUGGGCAUAGGGGUGAAAGUCCAAUCGAGGUUGGGAAUAGCUGGUUCCUCCCGAAACUACUCGCAGGUAGGUCUCGGUCGAGGUAGGCGGUGCGGUAGAGCCACCGAUCAGGUGUUUAGCGGCCGAAAGGCCGCGGCACCUUGUCGAACUCCGAACGUGCCGCCGCCGCAGAAGCCGGGAAUCAGGGCAUCUGGGGUAAGCUCGGUGUCCGCAAGGGGAACAGCCCGGCCCGGAGUUAAGGUCCCCAAGUGCUGGCUAAGUGUUAAUCUAAAAAGGGCGUCCACGGUCUCAGACAACUAGGAGGUGGGCUCAGAAGCAGCCAUCCUUUAAAGAGUGCGUAACAGCUCACUAGUCGAGACUGCGGGCCUCUAAAAUGGACGGGGCUAAGCCAGCCACCGAUACUCCGGAGCACCGCAAGGUGAUCUGGUAGGGAGGCGUCGUGCGCGGGUCGAAGUAGGGCCGUGAGGUCCUAUGGACCGCGUUCGAAUGCGGAUCCUGGUAGGAGUAACAGCGAAGAUGGGUGAGAAUCCCAUCCGCCGAAAGGGCAAGGGUUCCUCGGCAAUGUUCGUCAGCCGAGGGUUAGUCGGUCCUAAGGGUUCUCUUAAUCGAGGAACUCGAAAGGGAAGCAGGUUUAAUAUUCCCGCACCACGUGGUUUUCGUCCAGCUUCUGACGCAUCGGGAUAAGCCUUGCAGGCUCACCAGCCUGCUCGAGCGCUAUAGUCCCCGGAGAGCCGUAAUGGCGAGAAGGGGGUGAAGGCGCAAGUGAAGGUGCACUCCGAUUGGCCUAUUUCCCGGUGCCCGUGAAAAGGAAGCUGGAGCCACCCGCGUGACCGUACCUAGAACCGACACUGGUGCCCCUGGGUGAGAAGCCCAAGGCGUCGUGGAUAUAAUCUUCGCGAGGGAACUCGGCAAAAUCGCCCCGUACCUUCGGAAGAAGGGGUGCCAGCCAUGCAAAUGGCUGGUGGCACUGACAAGGGAACACCGUCUGUUUAAUAAAAACGCAUGUCAGCGCAAGCCGGAAACGGUGAGUAUGCUGGCUGAAGCCUGCCCAGUGACGGUAUCUGAAAACCGGGUUCAACCGGACGAAGGACCGUUAAACGGCGGGGGUAACUAUGACCCUCUUAAGGUGACCGUGUUGCCUUAAUAAAAGUCGACCAUAUGCUGGAACAGCUGAGUAUCCCGCACUACCGCGCUCCACCUCCACCGUACCCUCCUGCAAAGGGGGAUAUGGUUGGAGGUUGGGUAGAGCACGGUGAAAAUGUGACGGGUGCAGCCAAUCAGCAGGAAAGGCUGGAGAAAUCCAGAAUCCUCAGAGACUGGAUGUCGACCUCCCCGAUGGGAGAAGGUACAGUCCGACCCUCACAGCGAUGUGAGGAGGUCGCGGGAGACCGCGGCCCGCCUUCCGGAAGGAAGGUCCUUGAAGCAACAGCGUGAGCGUAAUACCUUGCCGCUUAAUUGGCGGCUUGCAUGAAGGCCCAACGAGUGUUCUACUGUCCCCGCGAAGAAUCCAGUGAAACUGAUAUACAGGCGUACAAUCCUGUACCUUCCUUCUGAAAGCGAAGACCCCGUAGAGCUUUACUGCAGCCUGUCGUUGUUGUACGAUUUCGAAUGUGUAGAGUAGGCGGGACCCGUUACCAGGGCGCGCCGCAAGGUGCGUUCCGAGGGGCCGAUGAAACACCGCCCUUUUGGGGUUGUACAACUAACCGCCUCGGCGGGACACCGGUAGGUAGGCAGUUUGGGUGGGGCGCCACGCCCUCAAAAAGAUAACAAGGGCGCCCAAUGGUCGGCUCAGGUAGGUCAGAAAUCUACCGUUGACUGCAAGGGGAAAAGCCGGCUUGACGCGGUUCUGCUCAACGAGGAACCGCGAUGCGAAAGCAGGGCCUAGCGAACCACUGAGCCCUAUUCGUGGGGGCCAGUGAUAACAGAAAAGUUACCUCGGGGAUAACUGAGUUGUCGCCAGCAAGAGCCCAUAUCGACCUGGCGGCUUGCUACUUCGAUGUCGUCUCUUCCUAUCCUGGCGGUGCAGCAGCUGCCAAGGGUGGGGUUGUUCGCCCAUUAAAAGGGAUCGUGAGAUGGGUUUAGACCGUCGUGAGACAGGUUUGUUGCUUUUUGAAGGAAGUGCGUUGGUGCCUGAGGGGAAGGAGCCUCCAGUACGAGAGGAACGAGGCUUCAUGGCCACUAGUGCAUCUGUUGUCCGGUAGGGCAUUGCAGAGCAGCCACGCCGUGGCGGAUAAAGGCUGAAAGCAUCUAAGCCUGAAACCGUCCCUAAAACGAGGCACCUUCGAGGGCUCCCAUAGAAGAUGGGGUUGAUAGAGCUGGGGUGUAAGCC
rnacentral:rRNA from 1 species